GACGAACGCUGGCGGCGUGCCUAAUACAUGCAAGUAGAACGCUGAAGGAGGAGCUUGCUUCUCUGGAUGAGUUGCGAACGGGUGAGUAACGCGUAGGUAACCUGCCUGGUAGCGGGGGAUAACUAUUGGAAACGAUAGCUAAUACCGCAUAAUAGCAGUUAUUGCAUGAUAACUGUUUGAAAGGUGCAAUUGUACCACUACCAGAUGGCCCUGCGUUGUAUUAGCUAGUUGGUGGGGUAACGGCUCACCAAGGGGACGAUACAUAGCCGACGUGAGAGGGUGAGCGGCCAAACUGGGACGGGGACACGGCCCAGAAUCCUACGGGAGGGAGCAGGAGGGGAACUUUGGCAAAGGAAGGAAGUCUGACCGAGCAACGCCGGGGGAGUGAAGAAGGUUGUCGGGUCGUAAAGCUCUGUUGUAAGAGAAGAACGAGUGUCAGAGUGGAAAGUUCACACUGUGACGGUAUCUUAAGAGAAAGCGACGGCUAACUACGUG
rnacentral:rRNA from 1 species